CAUUCACGGAGAGUUUGAUCCUGGCUCAGGACGAACGCUGGCGGCGUGCUUAACACAUGCAAGUCGAACGAUGAAACCGCUUCGGUGGUGGAUUAGUGGCGAACGGGUGAGUAACACGUGGGCAAUCUGCCCUUCACUCUGGGACAAGCCCUGGAAACGGGGUCUAAUACCGGAUAACACUCUGUCCCGCAUGGGACGGGGUUAAAAGCUCCGGCGGUGAAGGAUGAGCCCGCGGC
rnacentral:rRNA from 1 species